UGGGGAAUUUUGGACAAUGGGCGAAAGCCUGAUCCAGCAAUGCCGCGUGUGUGAAGAAGGCCUUCGGGUUGUAAAGCACUUUUGUCCAGAAAGAAAUCCUUGGCUCUAAUACAGUCGGGGAUGACGGUACCGGAAGAAUAAGCACCGGCUAACUACGUGCCAGCAGCCGCGGUAAUACGUAGGGUGCAAGCGUUAAUCGGAAUUACUGGGCGUAAAGCGUGCGCAGGCGGUUUGCUAAGACCGAUGUGAAAUCCCCGGCGUCAACCUGGGAACUGCAUUGGUGACUGGCAGGCUAGAGUAUGGCAGAGGGGGGUAGAAUUCCACGUGUAGCAGUGAAAUGCGUAGAGAUGUGGAGGAAUACCGAUGGCGAAGGCAGCCCCCUGGGCCAAUACUGACGCUCAUGCACGAAAGCGUGGGGAGCAAACAGGAUUAGAUACCCUGGUAGUCCACGCCCUAAACGAUGUCAACUAGUUGUUGGGGAUUCAUUUUCCUUAGUAACGUAGCUAACGCGUGAAGUUGACCGCCUGGGGAGUACGGUCGCAAGAUUAAAACUCAAAUGAAUUGACGGGGUCAUAGCUGUUUCCUG
rnacentral:rRNA from 1 species